ACACAUGCAAGUCGAGGGGCAGUAUGAUUGAAGCUUGCUUCAAUUGAUGGCGACCGGCGCACGGGUGAGUAACGCGUAUCCAACCUUCCGUACACUCAGGGAUAGCCUUUCGAAAGAAAGAUUAAUACCUGAUGGUAUGAUGAGAUUGCAUGAUAUCAUCAUUAAAGAUUCAUCGGUGUACGAUGGGGAUGCGUUCCAUUAGGUAGUAGGCGGGGUAACGGCCCACCUAGCCUACGAUGGAUAGGGGUUCUGAGAGGAAGGUCCCCCACAUUGGAACUGAGACACGGUCCAAACUCCUACGGGAGGCAGCAGUGAGGAAUAUUGGUCAAUGGACGAGAGUCUGAACCAGCCAAGUAGCGUGAAGGAUGAAGGUCCUACGGAUUGUAAACUUCUUUUAUAAGGGAAUAAAACCUCCCACGUGUGGGAGCUUGUAUGUACCUUAUGAAUAAGCAUCGGCUAACUCCGUGCCAGCAGCCGCGGUAAUACGGAGGAUGCGAGCGUUAUCCGGAUUUAUUGGGUUUAAAGGGAGCGCAGACGGGUCGUUAAGUCAGCUGUGAAAGUUUGGGGCUCAACCUUAAAAUUGCAGUUGAUACUGGCGUCCUUGAGUGCGGUUGAGGUGUGC
rnacentral:rRNA from 1 species